rnacentral:misc_RNA from 1 species
UCCGGUUUGUCACCGGCAGUCUGGCGUGAGUCCCCAACUUAAUGCUGGCAACACGCCACGGGGGUUGCGCUCGUUGCGGGACUUAACCCAACAUCUCACGACACGAGCUGACGACAGCCAUGCAGCAUCUGUGGUGCACCCUCGAAGGUCACACGUUUCCGUGCGCUUGCAGCACCAUGUCAAGUCCAGGUAAGGUGGGGAUGACGUCGGAGGAAUUCCA